rnacentral:rRNA from 1 species
UUGAACGCUGGCGGCAGGCCUAACACAUGCAAGUCGAGCGGUAGCACAGAGAGCUUGCUCUCGGGUGACGAGCGGCGGACGGGUGAGUAAUGUCUGGGAAACUGCCUGAUGGAGGGGGAUAACUACUGGAAACGGUAGCUAAUACCGCAUAAUGUCGCAAGACCAAAGUGGGGGACCUUCGGGCCUCAUGCCAUCAGAUGUGCCCAGAUGGGAUUAGCUAGUAGGUGGGGUAACGGCUCACCUAGGCGACGAUCCCUAGCUGGUCUGAGAGGAUGACCAGCCACACUGGAACUGAGACACGGUCCAGACUCCUACGGGAGGCAGCAGUGGGGAAUAUUGCACAAUGGGCGCAAGCCUGAUGCAGCCAUGCCGCGUGUGUGAAGAAGGCCUUCGGGUUGUAAAGCACUUUCAGCGGGGAGGAAGGCGUUAAGGUUAAUAACCUUGGCGAUUGACGUUACCCGCAGAAGAAGCACCGGCUAACUCCGUGCCAGCAGCCGCGGUAAUACGGAGGGUGCAAGCGUUAAUCGGAAUUACUGGGCGUAAAGCGCACGCAGGCGGUCUGUCAAGUCGGAUGUGAAAUCCCCGGGCUCAACCUGGGAACUGCAUUCGAAACUGGCAGGCUAGAGUCUUGUAGAGGGGGGUAGAAUUCCAGGUGUAGCGGUGAAAUGCGUAGAGAUCUGGAGGAAUACCGGUGGCGAAGGCGGCCCCCUGGACAAAGACUGACGCUCAGGUGCGAAAGCGUGGGGAGCAAACAGGAUUAGAUACCCUGGUAGUCCACGCCGUAAACGAUGUCGAUUUGGAGGUUGUGCCCUUGAGGCGUGGCUUCCGGAGCUAACGCGUUAAAUCGACCGCCUGGGGAGUACGGCCGCAAGGUUAAAACUCAAAUGAAUUGACGGGGGCCCGCACAAGCGGUGGAGCAUGUGGUUUAAUUCGAUGCAACGCGAAGAACCUUACCUGGUCUUGACAUCCACAGAACUUACCAGAGAUGGAUUGGUGCCUUCGGGAACUGUGAGACAGGUGCUGCAUGGCUGUCGUCAGCUCGUGUUGUGAAAUGUUGGGUUAAGUCCCGCAACGAGCGCAACCCUUAUCCUUUGUUGCCAGCGGUCCGGCCGGGAACUCAAAGGAGACUGCCAGUGAUAAACUGGAGGAAGGUGGGGAUGACGUCAAGUCAUCAUGGCCCUUACGACCAGGGCUACACACGUGCUACAAUGGCAUAUACAAAGAGAAGCGACCUCGCGAGAGCAAGCGGACCUCAUAAAGUAUGUCGUAGUCCGGAUUGGAGUCUGCAACUCGACUCCAUGAAGUCGGAAUCGCUAGUAAUCGUAGAUCAGAAUGCUACGGUGAAUACGUUCCCGGGCCUUGUACACACCGCCCGUCACACCAUGGGAGUGGGUUGCAAAAGAAGUAGGUAGCUUAACCUUCGGGAGGGCGCUUACCACUUUGUGAUUCAUGACUGGGGUG